AGAGUUUGAUCUGGCUCAGAGCGAACGCUGGCGGCAGGCUUAACACAUGCAAGUCGAACGGGCGUAGCAAUACGUCAGUGGCAGACGGGUGAGUAACGCGUGGGAACGUACCUUUUGGUUCGGAACAACUGAGGGAAACUUCAGCUAAUACCGGAUAAGCCCUUACGGGGAAAGAUUUAUCGCCGAAAGAUCGGCCCGCGUCUGAUUAGCUAGUUGGUGGGGUAAAGGCCUACCAAGGCGACGAUCCGUAACUGGUCUGAGAGGAUGAUCAGUCACACUGGAACUGAGACACGGUCCAGACUCCUACGGGAGGCAGCAGUGGGGAAUAUUGGACAAUGGGCGAAAGCCUGAUCCAGCCAUGCCGCGUGUGUGAAGAAGGUCUUCGGAUUGUAAAGCACUUUAAGUUGGGAGGAAGGGCAGUAAGUUAAUACCUUGCUGUUUUGACGUUACCAACAGAAUAAGCACCGGCUAACUUCGUGCCAGCAGCCGCGGUAAUACGAAGGGUGCAAGCGUUAAUCGGAAUUACUGGGCGUAAAGCGCGCGUAGGUGGUUUGGUAAGAUGGAUGUGAAAUCCCCGGGGCUCACCUGNGAACUGCAUCCAUAACUGCCUGACUAGAGUACGGUAGAGGGUGGUGGAAUUUCCUGUGUAGCGGUGAAAUGCGUAGAUAUAGGAAGGAACACCAGUGGCGAAGGCGACCACCUGGACUGAUACUGACACUGAGGUGCGAAAGCG
rnacentral:rRNA from 1 species